rnacentral:rRNA from 1 species
AACGUAGGUGGCAAGCGUUAUCCGGAAUUACUGGGCGUAAAGCGUGCGCAGGCGGUCUGUUAAGACCGAUGUGAAAUCCCCGGGCUUAACCUGGGAACUGCAUUGGUGACUGGCAGGCUUUGAGUGUGGCAGAGGGAGGUAGAAUUCCACGUGUAGCAGUGAAAUGCGUAGAGAUGUGGAGGAAUACCGAUGGCGAAGGCAGCCUCCUGGGCCAACACUGACGCUCAUGCACGAAAGCGUGGGGAGCAAACAGG